CCUACGGGAGGCAGCAGUCGGGAAUAUUGCGCAAUGGAGGAAACUCUGACGCAGUGACGCCGCGUGCAGGAAGAAGGGUUUCGGAUUGUAAACCGCUUUAGACAGGGAAGAACAUAGCCAGUACUUUUAGAAUAAGCUCCGGCUAACUACGUGCCAGCAGCCGCGUUAAUCCGUAGGGAGCAAGCGUUUUCCGGAUUUAUUGGGUUUAAAGGGUGCGUAGACGGAGAAGCAAGUUAGUUGUGAAAUCCCUCGGCGUAACUGAGGAACUGCAACUAAAACUACUUCCCUUGAGUACUGGAGAGGAAGGUGGAAUUACUAGUGUAGCGGUGAAAUGCGUAGAUAUUAGGAGGAACACCAGUGGCGAAGGCGACUUGCUGGACAGUAACUGACGUUGAGGCACGAAAGUGUGGGGAGCAAACAGGAUUAGAUACCCUGGUAGUC
rnacentral:rRNA from 1 species